GACAGAGGAUGCAAACGUUAUCCGGAAUGAUUGGGCGUAAAGCGUCUGUAGGUGGCUUUUCAAGUCCGCCGUCAAAUCCCAGGGCUCAACCCUGGACAGGCGGUGGAAACUACCAAGCUGGAGUAUGGUAGGGGCAGAGGGAAUUUCCGGUGGAGCGGUGAAAUGCAUUGAGAUCGGAAAGAACACCAACGGCGAAAGCAGUCUGCUGGGCCGACACUGACACUGGGAGACGAAAGCUAGGGGAGCAAAUGGG
rnacentral:rRNA from 1 species